rnacentral:rRNA from 1 species
AUGUCAUUUAGCACAGCGGGUUACUUGGAUAAGAUUAAGGGAAGUUCCAAGCGUGGAGAUUACAGAAGGUGUUGGGUGAUCAAAGGCACCUUGGUGCGUGCAGGGUUGGGGAUUGGGCACGUGGAUUCCGGGGCGGUGAUCCUAGAUGGCGGGCUGCGCAUUUGGCUCUCCGGCGAGCAGUGUUGCAGUGGUGUUGACGAUGCGUCUUGGUCAUGUGGAUGGCGAGGGAUUAGGUGUAGUGUUGACAACUUGAUGUCCCAGGUGCCAUCCUCCACACCUUCUGCAUAUAGAGUCGAGUAG